GCACAAAAUAUUACUCAUUAGUAUAAAUUUUGCAUAUCAAAUGAGCACGAUUUGACUGCGUAUCCCCGUAUCAUUGAAAAAUAAUAGUUACCCAUUCUCCUUUUAAACUACUCGAAUAAUACGCCAUUUUAAUGACUGCGUAUCCCCAUAUCCCCGUAUCAUUGAAAAAUAAUAGUUACCCAUUCUCCUCUUAAACUACUCGAAUAAUUACGUCAUUUUAAUGACUGCGUAUCCCCGUAUCCCCGUAUCAUUGAAAAAUAAUAGUUACCCAUUCUCCUUUUAAACUACUCCAAUAAUUACGUCAUUUUAAUGACUGCGUAUCCCCAUAUCCCC